GUGCACAUUUCAUUGUCUUUUUUCUUUAUGGUAAGAAGAAAGAUAUUUCUGAUGUGCCAGACUAACUUGUGGAGGUAAAUUAGCAGCUUGGCUUAGUAGCCAUCGCUGUCAGUCACCUUCAGACAAGU
ensembl:snoRNA